AACGGCUGGCGGCGUGCCUAAUACAUGCAAGUCGAGCGAAUGAUUAGAGAAGCUUGCUCUCUCUGAUUAGCGGCGGACGGGUGAGUAACACGUGGGUAACCUACCCUAUAGACUGGGAUAACUCGGGAAACCGGAGCUAAUACCGGAUAAUACUUCGAAACACAUGUUUUGAAGUUGAAAGAUGGUUUCGGCUAUCACUAUAGGAUGGACCCGCGGCGCAUUAGCUAGUUGGUGAGGUAACGGCUCACCAAGGCAACGAUGCGUAGCCGACCUGAGAGGGUGAUCGGCCACACUGGGACUGAGACACGGCCCAGACUCCUACGGGAGGCAGCAGUAGGGAAUCUUCCACAAUGGACGAAAGUCUGAUGGAGCAACGCCGCGUGAGUGAAGAAGGAUUUCGGUUCGUAAAACUCUGUUGCAAGGGAAGAACAAGUAGCGUAGUAACUGGCGCUACCUUGACGGUACCUUGUUAGAAAGCCACGGCUAACUACGUGCCAGCCGCGGC
rnacentral:rRNA from 1 species